UAGAAUGUACAAUUUAUGAAAAAAAGGAAACAGAGACUGAAUUGUCCUGGUACUCGUCUUCCUCUCCCUCGCACAGGAAUUCUUCUUACUUUGUGUUCAUCUUUAUUGUUCCUUUUCCACACAAAAUCAGCCCAAAUAGGUCGUCUUUUACUGUAUGUGCUACCACAUGAUCAUGUGAUUGAAAGAACCUCAACCCCUGAGUGUGUUUCCUAGAUGGGAAUCAGCUGUGAUUGAUCUAUUUGCAUAACUUCAAUCAGCUGUUUCUCA